ensembl:lncRNA
AAGCCUGCCUUUGCCAUAAUGCCUGACAUUUGCUUCUGCUUAGCCAAACUUUUUUGUUAUGUAUGUUUUACAGCAGUGUCCUGAUGCUGUUGCAAUUUGGAUGGCCACAGUGGAGCCACCUUCAUGUCGUCUGACCCAAAGGUACGUUUGGAUCGGGAGUUCCUGAGGAAGAUUAUCUUCUGGUAUGUCUGUGCAUUGUCAGUACCACGGAGAUCCAACCUUCAGCUGAGCCCCCAGUGGCAGAGAGGAUCCAGUUCAUUAAAGACUAAAAAUCAAAGCAGCACGGAUGUAUUCAUGCUAACUAGGAAUGGGAGAAAAGUAUAACUGUAAACACUGCUCAAACACUUUGCUAAUAUUAUCUUGUCUAAUGACGGAAAUCCCAGAUCCCUAGCAAAACUAAGCAUUUCUGCUGCUAUAGCAGAGUGCAGGUAGCACACCCUCCUGAUUGCUGCAGAUUAAAAAUAGCUGAGAAAGAUUGAUGCAUGCUAUUUCUUUGUUCAUAUAUAGCUGAAUGAAACCAUGUAAGUAGAACCCACUUACUUUUCAGUAUUAGGGAAUAAGCCUUUUUAAAUAUGAUUCCUGGAACAAAAAGCAUCUGCAAAGAAUAAUCUCUUUAGAUCCUUGAAAAAAGUCAGCAUUUUAUGAAAGUAUAUUGUCUACUGACGUUUAUGCAUUUCUCUGCUUUUGCAAAUCCUUUCUGCAUUUCUUAGAUACUGAUGCCAACACCGAACUUUGCCAGUCUGAAGAGUGGAAUUUGUUCUUUUUUUGGCAUUUCUAUAGUGUUCUUCAAACUGAGAUCUGCUCACCUUCCUGGUUAAAGCUUGUAACUUCUCCGUGAAGUAGGAGAGAAUUAUCUCAGUUAUUCUAGGAGGAAAUCUACAUUUCAGAGUUUGACUUAUUUUAGGUUACCCAAUGUGGCAGAAGCAGGUGUAGAAGCAGAUUCAGACCACUUGAUGCCCAGCCCUGUGAACUUACCUGGAUAUAGGGAAGGACAUCGAAAGUUGAUUUUGGAGAGCUUCUGCCUCCAAUUGUAGCAGGAGAGGAAGAAGACGUAUUGGCUUCUCUUGCAGUAUUCUGUUUUCUUUUAAUUUAAAUCAUAACAGAAUUCACAUUCUACAGGAAUAUAGCAAGAGAUUAGACAUGUCUUAUUUAUACACUGUUUAUUACAAUAAAUUCUUUUUAAAUUCUUGCUAAGACUUGUCU